AACGAAGUGGGGGGUGCGCGCGUGGGCGGAGAGCUCCGGGGCCGCUCGCGCAUGCGCAGAAGCGAAGGUGCCCCCCCUCCAGCUCCUUGAGGCGACCGUUGGCGGUUGGGGGCUGAGGGGCCGCCGCUUCCCUCCCUCCCCUCAGCGCUCCCCGCCGCUCCGGGGGCCGUGUCACGGCAGCCGCCCCGGUGCUCCCGGCCGGGAUUUAAUCUCCCGCUGCCCUACAUAGCGGGAGCGGCGAGGAGGGGCCGGGCAGGCUCGCAGCUCUCGUGAUCUCCCGGUUCUCCUGAGCACCUCAGCGCUGCCCGUUCAGGUCCCCCAGCCUGUCCCCCUGUCCCAGCCGCGCUGGGGUUUAAGCUGAACGCACACAGUAAAUUUGGCCAAGUCCAUCCCCAAGAGCGCAGGCAGACGCGGAGGAGCUCCUGCAGAACGAACAAGCUCACAGAAGUGACAGGCGCUACAGCCACAAGGCUUCUCCCGUCAGCAGCUGCUGCCUCUUGCCGCAGAAGGGCCGGCCGCGGCAAGCCUGCUGCAUAGCGGUGCGUGCGGCGAGAGGAAAGGGCGCGCAGCCUCCCUCGGAAAGCCCAGCUGCACCCAGCGGAGCCACGUGUGCCAAAGCAGAGACGUGUCCCCCCCGGGUGCUGGCAGAAAGGGGCUUGCUUCCUCCCGCGAGACGCUCAGACGGUGGCUUGGUUCAGCCGCCCCCCCGCAAACCUCCCUGGCAAAGGCUCCAGAAAUAACUUCAGACGUGUUGGCUGGGUUGCAAAGUACAAUUUGAUCUGACCCUUGCUAAUAAACCCCGCUGGUCGCUGACCCACAAUAUCAGGUCUGAAUUCCUCUUUGCAUGCCCCGGAGAAAGGAAUGGCUUGGAAGUCGCAUGUGGUAGGUGCUUUCCCCUGUUACCUUUUUGCAGCGAGGACCAGGGGAUGUCUCCAUCCAACCUGGGCAGACAAGGAGCCCAUGCUACCCUAAAUGCCGGCUGCUUGUGUAGACAAGGCAGAAUCUGCUGCCUCCUUGGCAGAGAACGGGUGAUACAAUGCCUGGGCACGUGCCGCUUGGAAAGAGGCACCCUGCUAAUGUAGGAGGCGGUCAGGAGGCUGGAACAGCACAGGUUAAUGCAUCGUAGCAAGGGGUUUCGGCCGAUAAAUCCAGCUGCAAGCAGCACACAGAACAGGUCAUGCUCCACUGCCCGGUGUGCUCCGGGGCUGCCACGUGCCUUCAACAGGCUCCUUCUGCCUUGCCAAGCUCAGCUGGCAGAAGGAACGAGCACAUGGGUGGAGGAGAGAUGCCACACUUCACGCGGGACAAUGAAAGGCAGAUGUCAGACCACACGUGGCAGAGGCAGCGCACACAGCUCAGCGGGGGGCUCGCAGUGAAGCUUUUACCCAGCAAACAGCUAAAUGGAUCUUUCCACAGAGGGCUGUCACCAGGCCUGAAGUGCACCAGCACCCGUGGAUCACCGGCUGGGAGGGUUAUCAGGCCUGCCUCCCUGACACCUCGAGGCCCCGAGGAAUAGUUCUGGACACUCGGGCUUCUCCAGUACAACCGGGUUUAUCCCAAGGAGCUGGUGGUGGCACCUGGCUGCAAACUGAUUUCUGGGGCUGAUGUUUCCUAAGGAAGCUGAGCUGCGUGUUACAGGUGGCCGAAAGCACAGCUCGCGGGGAGCCCACCAGCAGCGGGGACGCUCAACCAAAGAAAGGCAUUAGAGUCACCUGAGACCAUUCACUUCAGCAGCACAGCCAUUGUUUGGAAAUUUCCAUACAACCUCACACGGGGAUGUCUUCUGCUGCAGGUCCUACAGACCGAGCCUGCCCCUCACGGUCUCGGUGGUCCCAGUUCUUGCACCAACCACAGCUUGGUAGAGGCCGGCAGGUUGAAUUUCACCAGGACCUUUCCGACAGAACGCCUGACCACAUCCUGGCACCUCUUCGAUGGGGUUGAGAUGCUGCUGGAGGUGAUGGGCAUCUGCGGGGCUGCGAGGACACCCAGAAUGACAGCAGCAAGGAAGGCUGCGGCCGAACCAGGUGGGUCUGCAUCCACAACAGAUUACUUUGAAAGGAAAGGAGGUGGGAGAAGGAGUGAAAAGGCAGCACAGGAGGAUAGCUGAGGGUGGUAAAAGCAGCACUGGGGCUCUGCAUUGGCCAAGGUGCUAAAGACAACCUGGUGCCUGAAACAUGGGCGUGACCCUUUUUCGUGGCAGCAGUGUGGGGCAUGGACACGCUAUUACGCUGAGCCCCCUUCUCACCUCCAAACGGGCUGCCUCCUCCCCGGGCAGGGCAUCACAUGCGAACACACGUAUACGUAUGUGUGCAUGGUGCCUCUGUCCCUCCGUGGAGGAGGGCAGCGAGCCCCUCCAUCCUCGCUCCUCACUGCUGGCCCUGGCGUGGCCUUUGGCACCCACAUCUCCGCGUUGCAGGGAUACGGCCCCUGCAGAGAGGCAGGCGGUGGCUUUGCUUUCUCUGUGGGCCAGGGCUGGCAGCAGGACAGGUGCCUCCCGCAGCCCCGUUGGCACUGCUGGGAUCCCCCAAGUGACUGGCACGACUCAGCAGAAGGACCCACCUGCACCUCCCGCCUGAGGCGAAAGGAUUUCUAAAAACUAAUUCCCCCCCAAACGAGUGCCAAAAGCUAAUGAGCUUUUCCUUCCCACCCCGCUGCCAAGACAUGCCCCACUCCUGGCGUGCUCACAUGGCAGCCAGGCUCGUGGGAGCUCUGCUGUUCUGCACGUGGCCUUUCCUGUGAGGUGUCUUUUGCCAGAAAACGAGGUGUUAGGCAGGCAGAUAACGUAAGAAAGAUGGGAUCACCAGAAGUUGUGCCACCCUGGGCAGGAAGGAAACCUAGAGCUCUUUGUGCAUUUCCCUGCUCCGGAAAUGCUCUGGGAGCCUGGGCAGAGCUGGCUUUGGGAGCUCUCCGUGCAAGCCUUUGCUAUAUCAGACCCUUGGCAGGAGGCAGAGCCCCCUGAGAUGCCAAGAGCAGCAAUAAACAAAGGUGUUUAAAGCAGGAUGGAGAAACCCAAGGACAGCAACUGCUGGCCCUCUGCCAGGGAAAACAGCUGUGUGGAGCAGCAAGAAGAUGCUCGCUCCUGCAGCCAUUUCCUUCUCAAAACGAAGAGGCUGCCGAAAUGAUCUCAGCCAGCCCUCAGCCAGCCCUUGCCAGGCUCACUCACCUGCCCCAGGAACGAUUUGGCCCCCGGCAGGAGCAGGGACCCCGCAGCACUGAGGCCGAAGAGGUCAGAGACCGAUGGACUGAUAGAAAAGUCAACAGUCUGGGGAAAGGAUGGGAGAGCUGAAAUAAAACAACCAAUCUGCCGAGAAGCCUGGGCAGGCUGGCUGCAGCUGAUCCCCAAAAGCCAAAAUAUGAAUGUUGGGGUCUUAAACAGGAGACAAUCCGGGCUGCUGAAAGUUUCUUUUGGAGAGACUGUUUCUGUAUUGAAAAUCCAGCUCGGCUCUCAAGGGCGAUGUCCAGUGCAGUUAUCCUCAAGCCGUUUGGCUGAGGAAAAUUGAGGCCAUCUCCCUCCCGUGGAACCAGGACUUUCCCUCUCUGCUGCUGAACUUUGCUGGGGUACAAACAGGGGAGCGUGCCUCGGUGUUCAUUUAGAGAAACUAUGCAGCUUUCUUCAUCCUUCCUGAGCGUCCGCCUUGAGGGCCCCAGCACUACCGAAGGCCCACAACUAAAGCAGACAGAGGAAAUCCACAGAGAAAUGCAUGAAAAAGCACCUCCAGCGCUGAGUAUUUUUCCGGUUCCAAGCAAGCCAAAUCCACUCUGGCAUCUGGGUUUAGAGAUUUCCAUCUCAGCCCUGGGUAAAUGUCAUUUUUGGGAGGAUUAAGCCAGAUGGUAACAAAUAACCCGCUUUCCUGGGACUCUCAGCUAUGUCUGUACUUCCCAAGGCUCUGGGGGAAAAGAAAGAAAAAAAAAAGGUUUUCUGGGCCGCUGCCAUCCAUAAGCUGAACUGCAGAGAGGAGCAUCCACGAAAGGGGCAGUCUCGGGAGCUGCCGCAGUGGAGAACGAGUCAAUCAGAGCUGUCUGUUCCCUGCUCUCAUCCUUGCUGCACCAGGAUCUGCUUUCAGGAAACAACACCCCUGCCCUGGGGGCACCAGGACCUGCUGCUCCUGCCUCGAGUGGGCCGCAGAGAAGCAGGAAGCAAGAAUCCAGCCGGUGAGGGGGAGAGGUUAUUGGCAACGGAUGGGCCCUGGCCCUUCCCCUGCCAUCCUGGGGAGAAAGGGGUGAGGCUGGAUGAGACAGGCCGGAGCUCCUGAGCAGCAUCCGCAGCUUUUCAGGAAGCCCCAAGAAGACCUAUGCCCAGAACCACCCCACAGGUGCCCUGCUGUCUGUUCAGCACCUUCCUCUGCCCUGCGCCACAUGGCUGGCUGCUCCAGCCUGCGCUCCUGCAGCCUUUCCUCCUCCACUUCCCCUCACACCAAUCGCUCCCAUCCAGCCCCGUCCCUCUUUUUACUGUUUAGCGCAUCGCUUUCUGCCCAAUGUUUUUCUCACCGAGUGCCUACACGCAUUUCCUACUGCGUGCCCUCCACCCCCGUGGGUGACCCGCGCACCUCCUGCGGGGCACGAACUGUUCGCUGCUCUCCUCGCACACAGCAUGAUGCAACACGGCCCCGCUCUGAGCGCAACGGCUGCAGCAAACAAUUAACAGCGAUGACCACGUUUGCCUCACCUGCUGUCACUGCCCAGAAAUGUUUCUCUGUGGUGUGGGAAGGCAGACUCAGUCACAAAACUGCUUAGGAAUCCCGGCUGCAGCUUACGGGCUUGGCAAGGCAAACUGCCUCCACUGGGCUGCUGCAGGGUGGCAUUAAAGGCCUUCAGUAUGCAGCCUUCCUCCCAUCUCUCAGGGGUCUCUUCCUCUGCUCCUUUCAUUCUUCCCCAGGAACCGAAUCCUUCCUUGUGCUCUGCCCCUUGCCUUAAUGUCUGCUCAGGUUCCCGGGAGGGUGUGCAUACUGAGCUCACCACUCCUCUCCCUCUCUCUUCAAAAUACGAGUUUCUUUUCUUCAGUGGAGAAACACUGGUGAGGGCUUUAUAGCUGAGGUUCAAGUGUGCCAGGAAAACAUUGUUGUUUUCCUCCUCAUGCUUUGUCUGCCCUGCAGUUUGACAGUUUUGGUCUCCAUUGGACUGGGAAAGCUACAUUUGCUCUUGCCAGCAGGGUCUCAGUAAUUUGUGGAGGGUAAAACUAACGCCUUUUGUAUUGCGCGUACUCAGUUUAGCACCUGAAAAGUGCACCCAUCUCAUUCCCUCUGCACUACAAGCUCGUAUUCAGGCCUCUCCUCCUUUGACCAGAAGGACGCGAGUUGUGUUUGCAUCCAGGCGCAUCGGGGAGAUGCCUAUCAAGUUUCCCCUCCUCAGGUCUCACCGCGUAUGACCUUCUGGUCUCCCUGCAGAUUGUACAGCAGUAGCGGGGUGUCUCCAUGGGACCCCCUUGUCUUUGCCACAUCUUCAGCUUUGGCUUGAUCAAGAACCCCAGAUUUAAUCUGCAUCGUGACGGAUUGGCAAAGGAAGAAAAGCAAAAAGGUUUUUAUUAGGAAAUGUUUUCACACUGACAUCGUCCCCCAGGUGUGAUCUUCACCACACGGCACCAUGCCAGGGGGAAUCUGCGCAGAUGCUUCUCAUGGCUCGAGCUGCACACGACUCCGGGGGUAGGAGUAAGGGCAUUUUCCCUGGCAGGGUGCUCACUGGCAGGCAAAAGAACUGGCUGACCCAGUUGAACAGAGCAGUCUACACAGCAGAACAACUUCCAGCUUGAGGUGAUUACGAGACCUGGUUACUGGAGGUUUCAAAACACAGGUUAUCCCAAACAUCUGAAACUACGUGUUAAUGCAGAGCAUGUACAUUCUUGGUGCUUAGGGGAAAGGAAAAAACACAACAACAACAACAACACAUUUUAAACACAUCUAAAGUUCACAAGAACUGAGUGUCUGAUGAAAAACUGCAGAAUCUGUUAAUACACAUAUAUGCAAUUUUCCACUCAGCAAGAAGAGCAGUAGAUUAUACUGAAGGAUGGCAGAAAGCACAAACAA